rnacentral:tRNA from 13 species
GCAGUCGUGGCCGAGUGGUUAAGGCGAUGGACUCGAAAUCCAUUGGGGUUUCCCGCGUAGGUUCGAAUCGUACCGGCUGCG